UGUUUGAUCGAUAAAAUACCUCUAAAGCAAGUUAAUAACAUUGUAUUGUGAGGUUCAAUGCCUGAGGGCUCUCACAGAUAAGCUUUCAGAGAAGGAUUCUGAUCAACAAGGUGCUGUGAAUUUCUGACAUGAUUUCAUUCCGAGUCACAACUGUCUAAUCAGGAGGAAACUGCCGGAGUGUAUUUGACAUUCUCACUGCAGCCCACUUUCACUCUUGCCUUCAGCAACAUGUGUAAACUUCCAUGGACACUCCCCCUUCAGCAACAAACACUCCCCCAGAAACUGUUAAAAAUGACUGCUACUUCAUGCACCCCUAAAGCUUCCCUUCCAAGUCUGAUAAUAAACUCUCCGGAAGUUUAAUAAUUCAAGAUCAAGUCAUUAUCAAUAAUGCCCGUUUUUAUAUAAACUUAAGUGUGCCAAAUGUCUCAAAAAUAUUUUUCAUUGCGGCACACGCAAAAUAAUCAGUAUUAGCUGUUAUCUUUCUGUCUCUGAAGAACAUGGCUGGAUGUUUGUUUGUUAUAUAAGUGAUGUAGAUCAACUGGAAUACAAAAAAAAAAAGAAAGAAAAGUAAAGAAAAGAAAAGAAACAAUGUAACCAUAGCAGAAAGCGUUCAGGCUUUAAGACUUGCACGGGUUCUGAUGGUAUGAGUAGGCAGGGAGGCUGUAUGUCUACUGCCAGCCUCUCUAAAACCUGUACAUAAUUUGAAUGACAAACGCUUGUCACCACACCCUUCUUUUGCCAUCCAUACAGACUUUUGUUGACCAUACUUUAAAAUCUUGUAUAUUAUAAGCUAAAACUGUACAAAAGAGAAUUGAGGGGGGGCAGAAUCAGGGCUCAGCGGUUCAAUGCACUCGCCACUCUUGAAGACCCUGGUUCUGUUCCCAGCACCCACAUGGCAGCUCACGACCACCUGUAACACCAGUUCCAUGAGCACCUUCCUUCUCCAUGAGCACCAGACACCACACAGCACCCAGAUGACAUGCUGGCAACACACUUAUAUGGAUAAAAUAAAAAGAAAUCUCUAAAAGGGACAAUUUACUGGAAAAAAUUAAGGAAAACACAAAAAUAUUAAGUAGUUAUUUUUGACUAAUGAGAUUUAUAUAACUUUAGUUCCUUUAUACUGGAUGUGUUCCUAUUUUUAAAACCAUAUGGGUUGAUUUUUAAAACGCUAAUAUCCAUUUUGAAAAGUCAUGUGUUCAUUCUUUUAAACAUGCAUAGGAAAAUGAAUACACACACAUAAACACACAUGAAAAAGUUAAAUAUUUAAAUCAUUGACGGUCAGUGGGACCUGGAUUCUAAUGCUGACUUUGCCUUACUGUGUGGUGUAGUCACCUUACAUAACCACAGGACACUCAGUUUCCCCAUUUUUGAAAAGAAGAGAACACUUACUACCUCGUUGGGGUAGGUAGUUCCAAAAAUAAAAAAAUAUUUAGACAUGAAAAAUAGCCACAGAGUUCUUGUUUCUUAGAGUCUAGCAGGUAAAACUGUAAGCCUUUCUCACUGGCAAUGCACCUGUCUUAUCUAGGGAGCACAAGGUAGCUAUUACCAUCCAGCUGAUCAACUAAUCACAACCAGUGGGGGUGGGGGAAACGUUUUCUAAGCAUAUACACAAGUAAACAAACAAGCUUACAAAGAAAUAAAAUGGAUUACUUUCUUCUAGGGAUGGUAAUAGCUGUGAUAAGUUUUUUUAUUUUAUUUAUUUACUUAUGGGUUUUUGUUUUUGUUUUGUUUUGUUUUGUUUUUUCAAGACAGGGUUUCUCUGUAUAGCUCUGGCUGUCCUGGAACUCACUUUGUAGACCAGGCUGGCCUCGAACUCAGAAACCUGCCUGCCUCUACCUCCCAAGUGCUGGGAUUAAAGGCGUGCGCCACCACUGCCCAGCUGAUAAGUUUUUUUAUAUUCACUAAAUAUUUAGAUUAUUUAAAGGGAGGCUACAAUGAGCUAAAAGUGCAUAUCUGAAACUGUAGAACAGCAAAUAAAAAUAAUAAAACUGAGAUGAAGUGAAAUAAGACAAUUCAAAAUAAAAUAGAUCUGUAAUUAUCAUCAAACAUACAAAUCAAACAAAACAGAAGUCAAAAAAUGUUAUAAGAGAAAUAACUUGAAUAACUUAUUGAAUGAAAAUGAAAAGGAGCAUACAAGUUUCUUGAAUAUAGCUAAAUCUGUGCAUAG
rnacentral:lncRNA from 1 species